rnacentral:rRNA from 1 species
GAUGAACGCUAGCGGGAGGCUUAACACAUGCAAGUCGAGGGGCAGCAUAGGGUAGCAAUACUCUGAUGGCGACCGGCAAACGGGUGAGUAACGCGUAUGCAACCUACCCUGUACAGGGGGAUAACCCGGAGAAAUUCGGACUAAUAUCCCGUAAUAAUAUCCGGAGGCAUCUUUGGAUAUUUAAAGUUCCGACGGUACGGGAUGGGCAUGCGUAACAUUAACUGGUUGGUAAGGUAACGGCUUACCAAGGCUAUGAUGUUUAGGGGUCCUGAGAGGGUGGUCCCCCACACUGGUACUGAGACACGGACCAGACUCCUACGGGAGGCAGCAGUGAGGAAUAUUGGUCAAUGGGCGCAAGCCUGAACCAGCCAUCCCGCGUGCAGGAAGACGGCCCUAUGGGUUGUAAACUGCUUUUCCAGGGAGAGAACCUUACGCACGUGUUGCGUGACUGACGGUACCCUGGGAAUAAGCAUCGGCUAACUCCGUGCCAGCAGCCCGGUAAAAUCACGUGUA